rnacentral:tRNA from 1 species
GCCCAGGUGGCGGAAUUGGUAGACGCAGCAGACUCAAAAUCUGCCGUUCGUAAGGAUGUGCUGGUUCGAUUCCAGUCCUGGGCACCG